ensembl:lncRNA
AUGGAUGUAGUACUAUGUUCAGGUAGUUAUGUUAUGGAUGUAGUACUAUGUUCAGGUAGUUGUGUUAUGGAUGUUAUGGAUGUAGUUCUAUGUUCAGGUAGUUGUGUUAUGGAUGUAGUACUAUGUUCAGGUAGUUAUGUUAUGGAUGUUAUGGAUGUAGUACUAUGUUCAGGUAGUUGUGUUAUGGAUGUUAUGGAUGUAGUACUAUGUUCAGGUAGUUGUGUUAUGGAUGUUAUGGAUGUAGUUCUAUGUUCAGGUAGUUAUGUUAUGGAUGUAGUACUAUGUUCAGGUAGUUAUGUUAUGGAUGUUAUGGAUGUAGUUCUAUGUUCAGGUAGUUGUGUUAUGGAUGUAGUACUAUGUUCAGGUAGUUGUGUUAUGGAUGUAGUUCUAUGUUCAGGUAGUUGUGUUAUGGAUGUUAUGGAUGUAGUUCUAUGUUCAGGUAGUUGUGUUAUGGAUGUAGUACUAUGUUCAGGUAGUUGUGUUAUGGAUGUAGUACUAUGUUCAGGUAGUUGUGUUAUGGAUGUAGUUCUAUGUUCAGGUAGUUGUGUUAUGGAUGUUAUGGAUGUAGUUCUAUGUUCAGGUAGUUGUGUUAUGGAUGUAGUACUAUGUUCAGGUAGUUGUGUUAUGGAUGUAGUACUAUGUUCAGGUAGUUGUGUUAUGGAUGUAGUACUAUGUUCAGGUAGUUAUGUUAUGGAUGUUAUGGAUGUAGUACUAUGUUCAGGUAGUUGUGUUAUGGAUGUAGUUCUAUGUUCAGGUAGUUGUGUUAUGGAUGUAGUACUAUGUUCAGGUAGUUGUGUUAUGGAUGUUAUGGAUGUAGUACUAUGUUCAGGUAGUUAUGUUAUGGAUGUAGUACUAUGUUCAGGUAGUUAUGUUAUGGAUGUAGUACUAUGUUCAGGUAGUUGUGUUAUGGAUGUAGUUCUAUGUUCAGGUAGUUGUGUUAUGGAUGUAGUACUAUGUUCAGGUAGUUGUGUUAUGGAUGUAGUACUAUGUUCAGGUAGUUAUGUUAUGGAUGUAGUACUAUGUUCAGGUAGUUGUGUUAUGGAUGUAGUUCUAUGUUCAGGUAGUUAUGUUAUGGAUGUAGUUCUAUGUUCAGGUAGUUGUGUUAUGGAUGUAGUUCUAUGUUCAGGUAGUUGUGUUAUGGAUGUUAUGGAUGUAGUUCUAUGUUCAGGUAGUUGUGUUAUAGAUGUAGUACUAUGUUCAGGUAGUUGUGUUAUGGAUGUUAUGGUUGUAGUACUAUGUUCAGGUAGUUAUGUUAUGGAUGUAGUACUAUGUUCAGGUAGUUAUGUUAUGGAUGUAGUUCUAUGUUCAGGUAGUUGUGUUAUGGAUGUAGUUCUAUGUUCAGGUAGUUAUGUUAUGGAUGUAGUUCUAUGUUCAGGUAGUUGUGUUAUGGAUGUAGUUCUAUGUUCAGGUAGUUGUGUUAUGGAUGUUAUGGAUGUAGUUCUAUGUUCAGGUAGUUGUGUUAUAGAUGUAGUACUAUGUUCAGGUAGUUGUGUUAUGGAUGUAGUACUAUGUUCAGGUAGUUGUGUUAUGGAUGUAGUACUAUGUUCAGGUAGUUGUGUUAUGGAUGUAGUUCUAUGUUCAGGUAGUUAUGUUAUGGAUGUAGUUCUAUGUUCAGGUAGUUAUGUUAUGGAUGUAGUUCUAUGUUCAGGUAGUUGUGUUAUGGAUGUAGUUCUAUGUUCAGGUAGUUGUGUUAUGGAUGUUAUGGAUGUAGUUCUAUGUUCAGGUAGUUGUGUUAUAGAUGUAGUACUAUGUUCAGGUAGUUGUGUUAUGGAUGUAGUACUAUGUUCAGGUAGUUGUGUUAUGGAUGUAGUACUAUGUUCAGGUAGUUGUGUUAUGGAUGUAGUUCUAUGUUCAGGUAGUUGUGUUAUGGAUGUAGUAAUAUGUUCAGGUAGUUGUGUUAUGGAUGUUAUGGAUGUAGUACUAUGUUCAGGUAGUUGUGUUAUGGAUGUUAUGGAUGUAGUUCUAUGUUCAGGUAGUUGUGUUAUGGAUGUUAUGGAUGUAGUACUAUGUUCAGGUAGUUGUGUUAUGGAUGUAGUUCUAUGUUCAGGUAGUUGUGUUAUGGAUGUAGUUCUAUGUUCAGGUAGUUGUGUUAUGGAUGUAGUACUAUGUUCAGGUAGUUGUGUUAUGGAUGUAGUACUAUGUUCAGGUAGUUGUGUUAUGGAUGUAGUUCUAUGUUCAGGUAGUUAUGUUAUGGAUGUAGUUCUAUGUUCAGGUAGUUGUGUUAUGGAUGUAGUUCUAUGUUCAGGUAGUUGUGUUAUGGAUGUUAUGGAUGUAGUUCUAUGUUCAGGUAGUUGUGUUAUAGAUGUAGUACUAUGUUCAGGUAGUUGUGUUAUGGAUGUAGUACUAUGUUCAGGUAGUUGUGUUAUGGAUGUAGUACUAUGUUCAGGUAGUUGUGUUAUGGAUGUAGUUCUAUGUUCAGGUAGUUGUGUUAUGGAUGUAGUAAUAUGUUCAGGUAGUUGUGUUAUGGAUGUUAUGGAUGUAGUACUAUGUUCAGGUAGUUGUGUUAUGGAUGUUAUGGAUGUAGUUCUAUGUUCAGGUAGUUGUGUUAUGGAUGUAGUUCUAUGUUCAGGUAGUUGUGUUAUGGAUGUUAUGGAUGUAGUUCUAUGUUCAGGUAGUUGUGUUAUGGAUGUUAUGGAUGUAGUUCUAUGUUCAGGUAGUUGUGUUAUGGAUGUUAUGGAUGUAGUACUAUGUUCAGGUAGUUGUGUUAUGGAUGUAGUUCUAUGUUCAGGUAGUUGUGUUAUGGAUGUAGUACUAUGUUCAGGUAGUUGUGUUAUGGAUGUAGUACUAUGUUCAGGUAGUUAUGUUAUGGAUAUAGUUCUAUGUUCAGGUAGUUGUGUUAUGGAUGUUAUGGAUGUAGUUCUAUAUUCAGGUAGUUGUGUUAUGGAUGUAGUACUAUGUUCAGGUAGUUGUGUUAUGGAUGUAGUACUAUGUUCAGGUAGUUGUGUUAUGGAUGUAGUACUAUGUUCAGGUAGUUGUGUUAUGGAUGUUAUGGAUAUAGUUCUAUGUUCAGGUAGUUGUGUUAUGGAUGUUAUGGAUGUAGUUCUAUGUUCAGGUAGUUGUGUUAUGGAUGUUAUGGAUGUAGUACUAUGUUCAGGUAGUUGUGUUAUGGAUGUAGUUCUAUGUUCAGGUAGUUGUGUUAUGGAUGUAGUACUAUGUUCAGGUAGUUGUGUUAUGGAUGUAGUACUAUGUUCAGGUAGUUAUGUUAUGGAUAUAGUUCUAUGUUCAGGUAGUUGUGUUAUGGAUGUUAUGGAUAUAGUUCUAUGUUCAGGUAGUUGUGUUAUGGAUGUUAUGGAUGUAGUUCUAUAUUCAGGUAGUUGUGUUAUGGAUGUAGUACUAUGUUCAGGUAGUUAUGUUAUGGAUGUUAUGGAUGUAGUUCUAUAUUCAGGUAGUUGUGUUAUGGAUGUAGUUCUAUGUUCAGGUAGUUGUGUUAUGGAUGUAGUACUAUUUUCAGGUAGUUAUGUUAUGGAUGUAGUACUAUGUUCAGGUAGUUAUGUUAUGGAUGUAGUACUAUGUUCAGGUAGUUAUGUUAUGGAUGUUAUGGAUGUAGUACUAUGUUCAAGUAGUUAUGUUAUGGAUGUAGUACUAUGUUCAGGUAGUUAUGUUAUGGAUGUUAUGGAUGUAGUUCUAUGUUCAGGUAGUUGUGUUAUGGAUGUAGUUCUAUGUUCAGGUAGUUAUGUUAUGGAUGUAGUACUAUGUUCAGGUAGUUGUGUUAUGGAUGUAGUACUAUGUUCAAGUAGUUAUGUUAUGGAUGUAGUACUAUGUUCAGGUAGUUAUGUUAUGGAUGUAGUACUAUGUUCAGGUAGUUGUGUUAUGGAUGUUAUGGAUGUAGUUCUAUGUUCAGGUAGUUGUGUUAUGGAUGUAGUUCUAUGUUCAGGUAGUUAUGUUAUGGAUGUUAUGGAUGUGGUACUAUGUUCAGGUGUUAUAGAUGUAGUUCUAUGUUCAGGAUAUGUUCUGUUAUUUAUUACUGUCAGAAUAUCACUGUUUCCAGGAAGCAACACAGUAACAGGACUGACACUAGUUGGCUAUUUGGAGAGUCCCUGAAUGAGUCAGAGCUAGAUACUGUGUCUGUGUGUAUGUGAGUGUGUGUACGUGUGUGUGUGUGUGUGUGUGUGUGUGUGUGUGUGUGUGUGUGUGUGUGUGUGUGUGUGUGUGUGUGUGUGUGUGUGUGUGUGUGUGUGUGUGUGUGUGUGUGUGUGUGUGUGUGUGUGUGUGUGUGUGUGUGUGUGUAUGUGUGUAUGAGUGUGUUGCUAACCUUUUGUAAAGACAUUCACAUUCACACAGUGAUAUGAAUCAUAUAGAUCCAUGAUAGCAGGAUGUGCAGGUCUAGUUGUGUCGAACCUGAAUGUGUUGAGGCCUACUCAGACCAUGGUGAGUGUCCACCCUGAGAUCCCUUCUCCAAUGUCUUCUGUCUUCCCUCACUUUCUAUACAGUAGAUCCCUUCUCUAAUGUCUUCUGUCCUACUUCACAUUCUAUACAGUAGAUCCCUUCUCUAAUGUCUUCUGUCCUGCUUCAAAUUCUAUACAGUAGAUCCCUUUUCCAAUGUCUUCUGUCUUCCCUCACUUUCUAUACAGUAGAUCCCUUCUCCAAUGUCUUCUGUCUUCCCUCACUUUCUAUACAGUAGAUCCCUUCUCUAAUGUCUUCUGUCCUACUUCACAUUCUAUACAGUAGAUCCCUUCUCUAAUGUCUUCUGUCCUACUUCACAUUCUAUACAGUAGAUCCCUUCUCUAAUGUCUUCUGUCCUACUUCACAUUCUAUACAGUAGAUCCCUUCUCUAAUGUCUUCUGUCUUCCGUCACUUUCUAUACAGUAGAUCCCUUCUCUAAUGUCUUCUGUCCUACUUCACAUUCUAUACAGUAGAUCCCUUCUCUAAUGUCUUCUGUCCUCCUUCACUUUCUAUACAGUAGAUCCCUUCUCUAAUGUCUUCUGUCCUCCUUCACAUUCUAUACAGUAGAUCCCUUCUCCAAUGUCUUCUGUCUUCCCUCACUUUCUAUACAGUUGAUCCCUUCUCCAAUGUCUUCUGUCUUCCCUCACUUUCUAUACAGUAGAUCCCUUCUCCAAUGUCUUCUGUCUUCCCUCACUUUCUAUACAGUAGAUCCCUUCUCUAAUGUCUUCUGUCAUACUUCACAUUCUAUACAGUAGAUCCCUUCUCUAAUGUCUUCUGUCCUACUUCACAUUCUAUACAGUAGAUCCCUUCUCUAAUGUCUUCUGUCCUACUUCACAUUCUAUACAGUAGAUCCCUUCUCUAAUGUCUUCUGUCUUCCGUCACUUUCUAUACAGUAGAUCCCUUCUCUAAUGUCUUCUGUCCUACUUCACAUUCUAUACAGUAGAUCCCUUCUCUAAUGUCUUCUGUCCUCCUUCACUUUCUAUACAGUAGAUCCCUUCUCUAAUGUCUUCUGUCCUCCUUCACAUUCUAUACAGUAGAUCCCUUCUCCAAUGUCUUCUGUCUUCCCUCACUUUCUAUACAGUUGAUCCCUUCUCCAAUGUCUUCUGUCUUCCCUCACUUUCUAUACAGUAGAUCCCUUCUCCAAUGUCUUCUGUCUUCCCUCACUUUCUAUACAGUAGAUCCCUUCUCUAAUGUCUUCUGUCAUACUUCACAUUCUAUACAGUAGAUCCCUUCUCUAAUGUCUUCUGUCUUCCCUCACUUUCUAUACAGUAGAACCCUUCUCUAAUGACUUCUGUCUUCCCUCACUUUCUAUACAGUAGAUCCCUUCUCUAAUGUCUUCUGUCCUCCUUCACAUUCUAUACAGUAGAUCCCUUCUCCAAUGUCUUCUGUCCUACUUCACUUUCUAUACAGUAGAUCCUAUAUAUAUCUAUAUAUAUAUAGUGUAUGUGCAUGUGUGGUAAGAUGACAUCUUCAGUAGGUUAAAUGUAGCAACGUUUUAUUGUGGCUAAAGCUACCGAAACAUACAUAAAUCCUCUCUCUCGUGUCUGUCUGUCUGUCUGUCUGUCUGUCUGUCUGUCUGUCUGUCUGUCUGUCUGUCUGUCUGUCUGUCUCUCUGUCUGUCUGUCUGUCUGUCUGUCUGUCUGUCUGUCUGUCUGUCUGUCUGUCUGUCUGUCUGCCUGCCUGUCUGUGUCUCUCUCUCUCUCUCUCUCUCUCUCUCUCUCUCUCUCUCUCACACACACACACACUACAGAGUACACAGUCAAGUACAACACUAAGUGCUUACAUUCAGAACGGUGUUGAUAAAGGACAUGAAAAUGGUACAUUCUCUAAAAGUAUAAAAUACACAACUUGUAAAAGUGCAACAGAAUAGAAUAUAAAACAUACAACAUUGAAUGAAGACGUUGUUUAGAUUGUUUUAAGACUCUACUGAAUCUCCAUGGUUAUUCUGAGACUAAGUUGUAGGGUGGAACCUUAAAGGGGCAGUCUGGGAUUUAAAAAACAAAAUGUUAGACUCAGUCUCUCACAAACACACACAAACACACACUACGCACAAACACACACAAACACACACUACGCACAAACACACACAAACACACACUACGCACAAACACACACAAACACACACUACGCACAAACACACACAAACACACACUACGCACAAACACACACAAACACACACUACGCACAAACACACACUACGCACAAACACACACUACGCACAAACACACACAAACACACACUACGCACAAACACACACUACGCACAAACACACACAUAAACACACACUACGCACAAACACACACAAACACACACUACGCACAAACACACACAUAAACACACACUACGCAAAAACACACACAAACACACACUACGCACAAACACACACACAAACACACACUACGCACAAACAUACACAAACACACACUACGCACAAACACACACACAAACACACACUACGCACAAACAUACACAAACACACACUACGCACAAACACACACAUAAACACACACUACGCACAAACACACACAAACACACACUACGCACAGAUAGUCAAGUUCCAAAGAUAUAGAACGUUAGACUCACCCAGAACAAGUAGAAGAGUUCUGGACCCCAUCUCAGAGACAGACUGGUAUUAUAUCCACACCAGACAACAAAUAGGAUCCUAAUAGAACUAGUCCCACAAGAAGAAUCAGUCUGAGAUUAAAUCUGUUUUUACUGAAUUCAGAUUGAAGAUAAUCCCAGAUUAACAAGGUUUUUAUUCCGUAUGAUAAAUGGUGAGAAAAUAAAUACAAUAUUCUCUCUCUCUUAGAGAGACACCUCUCAGUGUGAACCACAUGGAGUUAGAAAAUAACUAUUUAGCUCUCCUCCCCACACCCUCUUUCUGUUAGAGCACGCCCCCUCUCUCUUUCCCCCCUCUCUCUCUCUGUACUCUCACUGAGAGAGAGAGACAGAGAGAGAGAGAAAGAAAGAGAGUUCUUCAACCAGACAACCACUUUAAGCAUAGGCUCUUUUAGGACAGUGUGUACAUCCCAAAUGAAGGAGGACAGAAGUCAUUAGAGAAGGGAUCUACUGUAUAGAAUGUGAAGUAGGACAGAAGACAUUAGAGAAGGGAUCUACUGUAUAGAAUGUGAAGUAGGACAGAAGACAUUAGAGAAGGGAUAUACUGUAUAGAAUGUGAAGUAGGACAGAAGACAUUAGAGAAGGGAUCUACUGUAUAGAAAGUGAGGGAGGACAGAAGACAUUAGAGAAGGGAUCUACUGUAUAGAAUGUGAAGUAGGACAGAAGUCAUUAGAGAAGGGAUCUACUGUAUAGAAAGUGAGGGAGGACAGAAGUCAUUAGAGAAGGGAUCUACUGUAUAGAAAGUGAGGGAAGUGCCUCCCGGGUGGCGCAGUGGUUAAGGGCGCUGUACUGCAGCACCAGCUGUGCCAUCAGAGUCCCUGGGUUCGCGCCCAGGCUCUGUCGUAACCGGCCGCGACCGGGAGGUCCGUGGGGCAACGCACAAUUGUCGUCCGGGUUAGGGAGGGCUUGGUCUGUAGGGAUGUCCUUGUCUCAUCGCGCACCAGUGACUCCUGUGGCGGGCCGGGCGCAGUGCGCGCUAACCUGGUAGCUAGGUGCACAGUGUUUCCUCCGACACAUUGGUGCGGCUGGCUUCCGGGUUGGAGGCCCGCUGUGUUAAGAAGUUGUGCGGCUGGUUGGGUUGUGUAUCGGAGGACGCAUGACUUUCAAACUUCGUCUCUCCCGAGCCCGUACGGGAUUUGUAGCGAUGAGACAAGAUAGUAGCUACUACAACAAUUGGAUACCACGAAAUUGGGGAGAAAAAGGGGUAAAAUAAAAAAUAUAUAUAUAUAAAAAAAGUGAGGGAGGACAGAAGUCAUUAGAGAAGGGUUCUACUGUAUAGAUAGUGAUAUUAUUCUGCUGUAUUGAAGAGAAGGGAUCUCAGGGUGGACACUCACCAUGGUCUUCAACACAUUCAGGUUCGACACAACUAGACCUGCACAUCCUGCUAUCAUGGAUCUAUAUGAUUCAUAUCACUGUGUGAAUGUGGAUGUCUUUACAAAAGGUUAGCAACACACUCAUACACACAUACACACACACACACACACACACACACACACACACACACACACACACACACACACACACACACACACACACACACACAGACACAUGCAAACACAAACACACACAGACACAUGCAAACACAAACACACAAACACACAGACACAUGCAAACACAAACACA